rnacentral:rRNA from 1 species
GAUGAACGCUAGCGGCAGGCUUAACACAUGCAAGUCGAGGGGCAGCACGGGUAGCAAUACCUGGUGGCGACCGGCGCAAGGGUGCGUAACGCGUGAGCAACAUGCCCUAUACAGGGGGAUAAUCCAGGGAAACUUGGUCUAAUAUCCCAUAGUAUUUAGAGGAGGCAUCUUCUAUAAAUUAAAGCUUCGGUGGUGUAGGAUUGGCUCGCGUGACAUUAGCUAGAUGGUGAGGUAACGGCUCACUAUGGCAAUGAUGUCUAGGGGUUCUGAGAGGAAGGCCCCCCACACUGGGACUGAGACACGGCCCAGACUCCUACGGGAGGCAGCAGUGAGGAAUAUUGGACAAUGGAUGGAAAUCUGAUCCAGCCAUGCCGCGUGCAGGAAGACAGCCCUAUGGGUUGUAAACUGCUUUUAUAUGGGAGCAAUAAGGUCUACGUGUAGACUGAUGAGAGUACCAUAUGAAUAAGC